rnacentral:rRNA from 1 species
UACGUGGGGGGCAAGCGUUGUCCGGAUUUAUUGGGGUUAAAGGGUGCGUAGGCGGUCUAUUAAGUCAGUGGUGAAAUACUCCAGCUUAACUGGAGGGGUGCCAUUGAUACUGAUGGACUUGAGUCAAGUCGAGGUAGGCGGAAUUGACGGUGUAGCGGUGAAAUGCUUAGAUAUCGUCAAGAACACCAAUAGUGAAGACAGCUUACUGGGCUUAAACUGACGCUGAGCCACGAAAGUGUGGGGAUCAAACAGG